rnacentral:lncRNA from 1 species
UCAACUUAUCUCUUUCAACUUGGAUACCAUGAGGCGGGCCUUGGAAAGUUUUUGAAUAAGUAGGGGGAAUUCGUAGAUCCUCCAAACGUAGAGCACGUAGGGCUUUGAAACCAAAUACGUUACCUACAAUGGAAGUAAACAUGUUAGUAACGGAACCCUCUUCAAAUAGGUCUAAUGGAUAAGCUACAUAACAGAUCCAUUGGUUGUCUUCCCCAGCAACAGGCUCGAUGUGAUAGCAUCGUCCUUUGUAACGAUCAAGACUGGUAAGUCCAUCAGUCCAAACAGUUGUCCAUGUACCAGUAGAAGAUUCGGCAGCUACUGCAGCCCCUGCUUCUUCGGGCGGAACCCCAGGCUGAGGACUUACUCGGAAUGCUGCCAAGAUAUCAGUAUCCUUAGUUUCAUACUCUGGGGUGUAGUAAGUCAAUUUAUAAUCUUUAACACCAGCUUGAAAUCCAACACCUGCUUUAGUUUCUGUUUGUGGUGACAUAAGUCCCUCCCUAUAACUCUUGAAUUAAGAAUUCUCACAAUAACAGGGUCUUGCUAGUUUUUGAAAGAUAGAUUUUGAAAGAUAGAUUAUGAAAGAUAGAUUUUGAAAGAUAUAUUUUGAAAGAUAGAUUUUGAAAGAUAGAUAUUGUGAUUAGUUCUUUUCUUUACUAUCUACCAUCCUUCUAUUUUUUUUAGUUAUUCACUGGAGCAAUUAUAUAUUGAAGUCAAUCCGAGGCAAGUGUUCGGGUCUAUUAUGACAUAAAGAUUAGGUGCCUAACGGACAUUGUUUAUCUUGAAAAACAAAUAUUUCUCGACGUAAGAAAAAAAUCUUUUUUAUUUUUAAUUUAAGAAACUAGUGUAUUUUUUUUGAGGGCAUAAGCUCCUAUCUAUAUCUACUUUCCUUGAGCAUAAUAUAGGGUUUUUUAUUUGAUUCUAAAUUCCAAGAUAACUCAUUAGAAUUAUUAAUAAGAUGGUCCUAAUAUAUUAGCAAUAUUUAGAUUGCCCCCUCUUUUUAUUCAGUUUAUUACUUCUAUUCUAGACCCUAUCCCUAUGGUUUAUUCUUAUGAAAUAGCAUAUAAAAUAGAAGGUAUAAGAAAUGGAUAUAAUGAAAUUCUUGAUUCGAUCUUAUGACCUAAUUUAUUUGAUUAAUGGAUCAACAACCAAACCACCCAUUUUAUGAAAAAGAAGGAGCAUGGUCUUAUUCAAAUUCAAAGCGCUUCGUAAUCUUCAACCAGUUCUGUGCUUCAAUAUAAUUUCCCGGAGUAAGCGCUAUAGCUUGUUUCCAAUAUUCAGCAGCUUGAUCAAACCAAGCUUCCGCAAUUUCCGAAUCACCCUGUAGAAUGGCCUGUU